UCCGUGUCUUCAAACUGCUCUUUUGAGUUGAGCGUGAUUUUACAGAGAAGUAUUUUAACUUUACCCAAAAAGCACUUUGCUUCAAACUCAUUUACAGUAGUCGCGUAGCAACAGACAAGGCCGUCGGCGGCGCUUCCUACAGGCAUCUGUUUGCAUCUUACGACACCAGCAGAUUAGCAAACGCAUCGCUAAUUGAUUUCUGUGUGCAGGGCGCAAAAGAGGCUGAAGCAUAACGUCGUGUAAGAGGUCGAUGGCGCUUGAAGGAGCUGGGUUUGUCCAGGGGUCCUUCUGUUCCCCCUGUGUCUGCUUCUCUGAGGCCUCUCUCCAUUCAAAGACAUGGCUCAGGCAUCUAUGGGCACGGCGGCCCGUCCAGAGCACAGCCCCUCGGCCCGGGGGCCCGGCUCCACCUCGUCCCCCACGAGGACCCGCGUUGGGAUGAUGGCUGGAUGGAUGAUUGUUUUCUGCUGCCCCGGGCCUCUUCAUUCACAGCUUGGACGAGGUAACAGCUUCAAAGUUCGGGCCUCGUGAAACAAUAUGCUGAGGCUGACAGUCCGAGGUGGAAGUUCCUCCCACACCAACAUUCAAUUUAUCUAAGUCCACAUCACUUUGGUCUGUUUACUGUGCACACACAACAGUAGUCAUGUGUAAUUUUUCUGAAUCAACAGGGCUCUAGUAGCUCUGCUCUGUCGUUUGCCUAAAAACAUUCAAGCACCACAUUAAUCAUAAUAAUCUUGUUUUUCUUGUAUUGAAUAUAAAGUGUGUCUUG